rnacentral:ncRNA from 1 species
UAAAUAUUACUGGUUAAAGAAGUAGUAACUAAAAGAUUACUGUCAGAGAACGGAUGGUUGGUGUGAAUCCGGAGUAACUUUUAGUGAACUCGUCUUUGUAAAUCUGUCCUUGAACUUUAAGUAGGGGAUGGCGUGUUCCGCGUUAUGGAUUUGAGUGUGCGUUAGCAAAACUAGGUGGUACCGCGGAAAUUUUCGUCCUAAAG